CGUAUAUUAAAGUUGUUGCAGUUAAAAAGCUCGUAGUUGGAUUUGUGGCGUACGACGGGCUCCGGGCACUUGUUGUCUGAGUAGCUUGUCGUUGCCAUCCUUGGGUGGAAUCUGUGUGGCAUUAGGUUGUCGUGCAGGGGAUGCCCAUCUUUUACUGUGAAAAAAUUAGAGUGUUCAAAGCAGGCUUAUGCCGUUGAAUAUAUUAGCAUGGAAUAGUAAGAUAGGACUUUGUCGCUAUUUUGUUGGUUUGCGCGAUAAGGUAAUGAUUAAUAGGGACAGUUGGGGG
rnacentral:rRNA from 1 species